rfam:Triticum aestivum genome assembly, contig: Triticum_aestivum_CS42_TGACv1_scaffold_000205_1AL
GUAGUAUUCCCUCCGUCACAAAAUUCUUAUCUUACAUUUGUUUAGAUACGGAUGUAUCUAACACUAAAAUGUAACUAGAUACAUCCGUAUUUAGACAAAUUUAAGACAAGAAUUUUGGGACGGAGGGAGUACAAA